AGUGAUGCAUUAUUGCCCUUUAAAUGAAGAGAAGCAACCUCUACACCGAAUGAACUGACUUUUACAGCGUAGGACGAGAGAAUAAGCAUAAAGAAGAACCUCUCUCACUCACCACAGUUUAAAUCAAAAUUAUCUUAUGACAUAAAUAUACAACCAUAUGCAGGUUCCAACAUGAUUUUUUAUUUAUAUAAUAUAUAUUUCCUUUUCUAGGUGUUGAGUAAAGUUGAAAAAAAAUAAAGUAAAUUGUGACAAAUCCUUUAACUAUGUCAUAAAUGAAAUUUAAUUCUGUAAUUACUAAGAAAUCAAAUACUGAAAUAAGAAGGAAAAACAAAUAAAAGGGAAUAGUCAGAGGAAUGUGGGCUUUGAGUUGGACCCAUUUUUGGACUACUAAUAAGAGUAUAUGAAAGUGAUGUCUCAUAAACUUGUUUACUUCUUCUCUCAAGUGAAACUACACUUCUUCUCUCAUUCAUGUGAACCUGCGCUUCUUCUCCUCUGUUUUCUCAUUCAUUCAUUUCUACUUACCUCUUUUUUUUUUUUUUCCUCGAAUAAAAAACAAAAUAUCAAAGAUGCUUGCUAUAUGGAGAAAAGUUUAAUUAUUAUUUUUCAGAAAAGCAUCACGAGAUUGCUAUAUAGCUAAGUACACCUGGAUGUAAGAGUUUUUUUUUACAGUAUUUUCUUUCUUUUUUUGAUGAUUGGGAAUUUGGGAGUAUGAGUUUAGUUUAUAUAUAUAUAUUUUUUUUUUUGUUCAAAGUUUAUAUAUAUAUUUAAGUUUACUAUUGAUCAUUGUUAGUCAUUAUUAUAUAGUAACAGUUAUAAAAAAAAACAUCUAAAUCUAUAUAUUCGUUUUGUAGAUAUAUAUAAAAAAACUCACAUGUCCACCAUGGCAGCUACCUCCUCUGGCUUCUCAACUGCAUGUUCAUGCCAUGUUUCAUUGGACCUGUUUUUUUUUAAAACAAAACAUUUAUUAUUAUAUUAUUAUACAAUCCAACAAAUUAUUGUCUCAUUAAUCACUUGCUAUAUAUAUUAAUAUAUCAAAAUUUAUUUACACACUGCUUUUUGUUUCCUUAUUUCUUUUCAAUUGAUCGAUAACUAUAGAAUUAGUAUGCAUGUCGCUAAUAUCAGGGAUGAUCAAAUUAUAUUUGAAAACUCAUCGAUCAAAACCAGCAAUACCGACCUCUUCAAGGUUUAUACAUACAGUAUACAUUAAGGGGGAAAUAAAUUCAGGUUUCGCCAUUCUUGAUGAACGCUCACUAAUUCUUGGUGAACAGCAGAACAAGAACACGUAGAAUCAAAGCUACAUUGAGCUAGAAACUCUUUGAUGGAUCAUGGAUGUCAUACGUCUAACUAACCAAUGUAUAAAAUGAAGUGAGAAUCAUGAUGAUGAUACUAAAGUGAUUACCUGGAUGAACUAACGCCGAUAAACAGAGUUGCUAGAAGUAAUGCAGAAGCGAAGAGUAGAGUAAGCUUUCUGACAGCCGCCAUUGUUAUAUAUAUAUAUAUUGUUGUUCUUUCUCUGGUUAUGUUUAGUUGUCUCUGUCUCAGACAGAGGCAGAGGCAGAGGCCUUUUUCUCGAAAUAAAAAGAAAGGAAGAGGAAUAGGAGAAGAAGAAGACGAAGAAGAAGAAGAAGAAGGAGGGUAGAAGAAAGGCUACGGGAGAGACGAGUUAAUAUAAGAAGAAGAAUGCGUGACCAUUCCCAUUAUCUCUUAUCGCCUAAUUUCAUAUAAAAUAUAAAUAGAUAAAUAAAUAAAGGAACAUUUUCAAAAAGUGAUACUAAAAAU
rnacentral:lncRNA from 1 species